GGGCCUGUAGCUCAGUUGGUUAGAGCAUCCGGCUCAUAACCGGACGGUCGGAGGUUCGAGUCCUCCCAGGCCCACCA
rnacentral:tRNA from 3 species